UCCAGACUCCUACGGGAGGCAGCAGUGGGGAAUAUUGGGCAAUGGGCGCAAGCCUGACCCAGCAACGCCGCGUGAAGGAAGAAGGCUUUCGGGUUGUAAACUUCUUUUCUCAGGGACGAAGCAAGUGACGGUACCUGACGAAGAAGCCACGGCUAACUACGUGCCAGCAGCCGCGGUAAUACGUAGGGGGCAAGCGUUAUCCGGAUUUACUGGGUGUAAAGGGGGUGUAGGCGGGGCUGCAAGCCAGGAGUGAAAGCCCGGGGCCCAACCCCGGGACUGCAGUUGAAACUGGGGGUCUUGAGUGCAGGAGAGGCAGGCGGAAUUCCUGGUGUAGCGGUGAAAUGCGUAGAUAUCAGGAGGAACACCGGUGGCGAAGGCGGCCUGCUGGACAGCAACUGACGUUGAGGCCCGAAAGCGUGGGGAGCAAACAGGAUUAGAUACCCUAGUAG
rnacentral:rRNA from 1 species